UCUCCUGGAAACGGGUGGUAAUGCCGGAUGCUCCAGUUGGAUGCAUGUCCUUCUGGGAAAGAUUCAUCGGUAUGGGAUGGGGUCGCGUCCUAUCAGCUUGAUGGCGGGGUAACGGCCCACCAUGGCUUCGACGGGUAGCCGGCCUGAGAGGGCGACCGGCCACAUUGGGACUGAGAUACGGCCCAGACUCCUACGGGAGGCAGCAGUGGGGAAUAUUGCACAAUGGGCGCAAGCCUGAUGCAGCGACGCCGCGUGCGGGAUGACGGCCUUCGGGUUGUAAACCGCUUUUGACUGGGAGCAAGCCCUUCGGGGUGAGUGUACCUUUCGAAUAAGCACCGGCUAACUACGUGCCAGCAGCCGCGGUAAUACGUAGGGUGCAAGCGUUAUCCGGAAUUAUUGGGCGUAAAGGGCUCGUAGGCGGUUCGUCGCGUCCGGUGUGAAAGUCCAUCGCUUAACGGUGGAUCCGCGCCGGGUACGGGCGGGCUUGAGUGCGGUAGGGGAGACUGGAAUUCCCGGUGUAACGGUGGAAUGUGUAGAUAUCGGGAAGAACACCA
rnacentral:rRNA from 1 species